CAGUAGCCACGGUAAUACGGAGGGGGCUAGCGUUGUUCGGAAUUACUGGGCGUAAAGCGCACGUAGGCGGCUUGGUAAGUUAGAGGUGAAAGCCCAGGGCUCAACCCUGGAAUUGCCUUUAAGACUGCCGAGCUAGUAGGUGAGAGAGGUAAGUGGAAUUCCGAGUGUAGAGGUGAAAUUCGUAGAUAUUCGGAAGAACACCAGUGGCGAAGGCGGCUUACUGGCUCAUUCUAGACGCUGAGGUGCGAAAGCGUGGGGAGCAAACAGGAUUAGAUACCCCCGUAGUCCCUGUCUCUUAUAC
rnacentral:rRNA from 1 species